CUUUUUCUCUCUUUUCCUCAAACCUUUUCAUCGUCUUCUCUCUCUUUCUCACGCCUCCCAGCUUCUUUAUCUGUCUCUAGAUCACCCACACACCACAUCAUGACGAACACCAAAUCUUUAGCUUCAUCUCUCUCUUUCUCACUCACACAGAACACCACACCAUGGCGAGACUUCAUCUCUGUCUUUUCUGACUCAAACAUUCAGAUCUACUCAAAAAAUAAUCUUUUUGGUUCUUUUCUGUUGGAUCUCGAGUUUUGAUCUCGAUUUUGCUCUUAGAUCUACUUUGUAUUUGUUUUACGAGACUUCAUCUCUUUCUAACCCAAACAAUCAGAUCUACUCAAAAAAUAAUCUUUUUUGUUCUUUUCUGCUGGAUCUUGAGUUUUGAUCUAGAUUUUGCUCUUAGAUCUACUUUGUAUUUGUUUUAUUUUUGUGUUGCAUUGAUGUUUUGCUCUCAGAAUCAUGAACAACGUGAAGAACACAAAAAAGAUCUACUUUUCUUUUGGUUCAUUUUUUCCUCUUAUAUUCCUGAGCACCUUCACGAGACUUAGAAAAAAGAUCUACCUUUCUUUUGGUUGAUGUUUUGCUCUGAGAGCAUUGAGCAACUUGACGAAUACAAAAAAGGUAACAAGAAUUUUUUUUCGUUCUUCUACCAUCUUCUCAUAUCUACUUUAUUUUCUAUUAUUUUUGUUUUUCGUGGAUAUUUUUCUGUAAGAUUUACUUAUUUUUGUUCGGUGAAUUUUUUCAGAUUUUCUUUUCUUUGUUGACAAAAUGUGUUAGGUCGAGAUUUUUUUCUCAAAUCUACUGUUUGAUGGAUUUUUCUUCUCAUAUAUGUUUUGUUGAUGUUUUCUUCUGAGAUUUUUGAGAACCUUCACCGUACUGAAAAUAAGGUAACAACUUCUAAUUUUUGUUUUCUCAGAUCUACUACCAUCUUUUUAGAUCUACUUUGUUUUCUAUUAUUUUUGUUUUUCAUGAAUAUUUUUCGGUAAGAUCUACUUAUUUUUUGUUCGGUGGAUUUUUUCAGAUUUUUACUUUUCUUUGUUGACAAAAUGUGUCGAGUUUUUUUUCUCAGAUCUACUGUUGGAAGAAUUUGUUCUUCUCAGAUAUACUUUUUUUUGUUAAUGUUUUCCUCUGAGAUUUUUGAGGACCUUCACCGUACUAAAAACAAGGUAACAACUUCUAAUUUUUGUUAUUCUACUACCAUCUUCUCAGAUCUUAUUUUUUUCUAUUAUUUUUCUUUUUUAUGGAUAUUUUUGUCUGAGAUCUACUUAUUUUGUUCUAUUUUUUUGUUGGAUAAAUGUUUUGUUUUCAUAUCUACUUUACUUUGUUGCAUUUAUCUGUUUGA